CACGUAGGGUGCGAGCGUUGUCCGGAAUUAUUGGGCGUAAAGAGCUCGUAGGCGGUCUGUCACGUCGGCUGUGAAAACUCGGGGCUCAACCCCGAGCCUGCAGUCGAUACGGGCAGACUAGAGUCCGGCAGGGGAGACUGGAAUUCCUGGUGUAGCGGUGAAAUGCGCAGAUAUCAGGAGGAACACCGGUGGCGAAGGCGGGUCUCUGGGCCGGAACUGGCGCUGAGGAGCGAAAGCGUGGGGAGCGAACAGG
rnacentral:rRNA from 1 species